rnacentral:rRNA from 1 species
AACCAGUUAUAGUUUAUUUGAUAAUCGAAAUUACAUGGAUAACCGUGGUAAUUCUAGAGCUAAUACAUGCUGGUUAGCCUGACUUUUAGGAAGGGCUGUAUUUAUUAGAUAACAAAUCAAUAUUCCUUGUGUCUAUUGUGACGACUCAUAAUAACUGAUCGAAUCGCAUGGACUUUGUCCGCGAUAAAUCAUUCAAGUUUCUGCCCCAUCAGCUUUCGAUGGUAGUGUAUUGGACUACCAUGGCUUUCACGGGUAACGGAGGAUUAGGGUUCGAUUCCGGAGAGGGAGCCUGAGAAACGGCUACCACAUCUAAGGAAGGCAGCAGGCGCGUAAAUUACCCAAUCCUGACUCAGGGAGGUAGUGACAAGAAAUAACGGACCGAGGCAUUGCUUCGGGAUUGCAAUGAGUAGAAUUUAAACCCCUUUACGAGGAUCAAUUGGAGGGCAAGUCUGGUGCCAGCAGCCGCGGUAAUUCCAGCUCCAAUAGCAUAUAUUAAAGUUGUUGCAGUUAAAAAGCUCGUAGUUGGAUUUCUGGGAGGGUGCCAAUGUCCGCAUGUUGCGUGUGCAGCGGCGCCCUUCCAUCCUUCUGUUAACGUUUCUGGUAUUCAGUUACUGGACUCGGGCUCAGAUACUUUACCUUGAGAAAAUUAGAGUGUUCCAGGCAGGCUUGCGCCGGAAUACAUUAGCAUGGAAUAAUAGAAUAGGACUUUAGUCUCCUUUGUUGGUUUGAGGGACUGAAGUAAUGAUUAAUAGGGAUAGUUGGGGGCAUUAGUAUUUAAUUGUCAGAGGUGAAAUUCUCGGAUUUGUUAAAGACUAACUUAUGCGAAAGCAUUUGCCAAGGAUGUUUUCAUUAAUCAAGAACGAAAGUUAGGGGAUCAAAGACGAUCAGAUACCGUCGUAGUCUUAACCAUAAACUAUGCCGACUAGGGAUCGGAGGCGCGUUUUAUCCGCCUUCGGCACCUUAUGAGAAAUCAAAGUCUUUGGGUUCUGGGGGGAGUAUGGUCGCAAGGCUGAAACUUAAAGGAAUUGACGGAAGGGCACCACCAGGAGUGGAGCUUGCGGCUCAAUUUGACUCAACACGGGAAAACUUACCAGGUCCAGACAUAGU